rnacentral:misc_RNA from 1 species
UCAAUGGGAGGCAUGCCUGUCUGAGCGUCGUUUAAAACCAUGAUCUCUUCUAGAGGUCGUAUUAGGUUUCGCCUCUGCCGGCGUCUCCUCAAAGUAAUCGUGUCUCAGAGCGGACGAGAUCCAUUAGGACAGAACGUUCGAGGACCCUAAAUACUCUCUGACUUGACCUCAGAUCAGGUAGGACUACCGCCUGAACUUAA